ensembl:rRNA 5S_rRNA 5S ribosomal RNA
GCCUACGACCAUACCACCCUGAAUACGCCCGAUCUCGUCCGAUCUCGGAAGCUAAGCAGGUUUGGGCCCGGUUAGUAUAAACUGCUGCUCGUGAGGG